CUCGCGCAUCCAAAUGGACAGAACAGCCACGGUUGAAAGUUAUGGGAGUUAAUGGAGGACAUAAUGAUAGGAGUAAUUAACGGUAGUAUAAACAGUCUGUGAAAGCAGAAGAGGCUUUUCGGUCCGGGAAUUGAUUACGGUCUAAUACGAUUGGUAGAUCUGGAAUUUUUUUAAAACCUAGAACGACCUAUAGAAGGGGGCGGGAGUCGGAAGUGAUGAGUCCACCACUACUAUUUUACUAGCUUGUAUGUUUUCUUUCUCCACUGAUCCAUUAUACUCCCUACUUCCCAUUUUAUAGGUCGAUCUAGGUUAUAUUUUUUACCCCGAUUCACCUGUCUUAUUAGUCUGUAAUCAAUUCCCUGAUCAAAAAACCUCUCCGUCUUUCAUGAAGACCGUUUACACUCCCACAAUUUUAGCCUUUCACUAAUUCCUUCGUUAAGCCACGUAACUUUCUCCCGCAGCUGUUCUGUCCUUCGGGAU